rnacentral:rRNA from 1 species
UAACACAUGCAAGUCGAACGGAGCGAAUGAAAGCUUGCUUUUAUGAGCUUAGUGGCAAACGGGUGAGUAACACGUAGACAACCUGCCGACAGGAUGGGGACAACAUUCCGAAAGGAAUGCUAAUACCGAAUGAAGCGGAGGAGAGGCAUCUCUCCUCCGUGAAAGAUGGCCUCUGAACAUGCUAUCACCUGUCGAUGGGUCUGCGUCUGAUUAGCUAGUGGUGAGGUAACGGCUCACCAAGGCGACGAUCAGUAGCCGGUCUGAGAGGAUGAACGGCCACAUUGGGACUGAGACACGGCCCAGACUCCUACGGGAGGCAGCAGUGGGGAAUCUUCCGCAAUGGGCGCAAGCCUGACGGAGCAACGCCGCGUGAGUGAAGAAGGUCUUCGGAUCGUAAAGCUCUGUUGACGGGGACGAACGUGCGUGAUGCGAAUAG